rnacentral:rRNA from 1 species
UUAAGUGACUAAGCGUACACGGUGGAUGCCUAGGCAGUCAGAGGCGAUGAAGGGCGUGCUAAUCUGCGAAAAGCGUCGGUAAGGUGAUAUGAACCGUUACAACCGGCGAUACCCGAAUGGGGAAACCCAGUGUGUUUCGACACACUAUCAUGUCAUGAAUACAUAGUGGCAUGAGGCGAACCGGGGGAACUGAAACAUCUAAGUACCCCGAGGAAAAGAAAUCAACCGAGAUUCCCCCAGUAGCGGCGAGCGAACGGGGAGGAGCCCAGAACCUGAAUCGGCUUGUGUGUUAGUGGAAGCGUCUGGAAAGUCGCGCAGCAAAGGGUGAUAGCCCCGUACACUAAAAUGCACAGGUCGUGAGUUCGAUGAGUAGGGCGGGACACGUGACAUCCUGUCUGAAUAUGGGGGGACCAUCCUCCAAGGCUAAAUACUCCUGACUGACCGAUAGUGAACCAGUACCGUGAGGGAAAGGCGAAAAGAACCCCGGCGAGGGGAGUGAAAUAGAACCUGAAACCGUGUACGUACAAGCAGUGGGAGCACCUUCGUGGUGUGACUGCGUACCUUUUGUAUAAUGGGUCAGCGACUUAUAUUUUGUAGCAAGGUUAACCGUAUAGGGGAGCCGUAGGGAAACCGAGUCUUAACUGGGCGAAUAGUUGCAAGGUAUAGACCCGAAACCCGGUGAUCUAGCCAUGGGCAGGUUGAAGGUUGGGUAACACUAACUGGAGGACCGAACCGACUAAUGUUGAAAAAUUAGCGGAUGACUUGUGGCUGGGGGUGAAAGGCCAAUCAAACCGGGAGAUAGCUGGUUCUCCCCGAAAGCUAUUUAGGUAGCGCCUCGUGAACUCAUCUUCGGGGGUAGAGCACUGUUUCGGCUAGGGGGCCAUCCCGGCUUACCAAACCGAUGCAAACUCCGAAUACCGAAGAAUGUUAUCACGGGAGACACACGGCGGGUGCUAACGUCCGUCGUGAAGAGGGAAACAACCCAGACCGCCAGCUAAGGUCCCAAAGUCAUGGUUAAGUGGGAAACGAUGUGGGAAGGCAUAGACAGCCAGGAUGUUGGCUUAGAAGCAGCCAUCAUUUAAAGAAAGCGUAAUAGCUCACUGGUCGAGUCGGCCUGCGCGGAAGAUGUAACGGGGCUAAACCAUGCACCGAAGCUGCGGCAGCGACGCUUAGGCGUUGUUGGGUAGGGGAGCGUUCUGUAAGCCGUUGAAGGUGGCCUGUGAGGGUCGCUGGAGGUAUCAGAAGUGCGAAUGCUGACAUAAGUAACGAUAAAGCGGGUGAAAAGCCCGCUCGCCGGAAGACCAAGGGUUCCUGUCCAACGUUAAUCGGGGCAGGGUGAGUCGACCCCUAAGGCGAGGCUGAAAAGCGUAGUCGAUGGGAAACAGGUUAAUAUUCCUGUACUUGGUGUUACUGCGAAGGGGGGACGGAGAAGGCUAGGCUAGCCGGGCGACGGUUGUCCCGGUUUAAGCGUGUAGGGGGUGUGACCUGGUAAAUCCGGUUGCAUAUCAACCCUGAGGCGUGAUGACGAUGCACUACGGUGCAGAAGUAGUUGAUGCCCUGCUUCCAGGAAAAUCCUCUAAGCUCCAGGUAACAUUAAAUCGUACCCCAAACCGACACAGGUGGUCAGGUAGAGAAUACCAAGGCGCUUGAGAGAACUCGGGUGAAGGAACUAGGCAAAAUGGUGCCGUAACUUCGGGAGAAGGCACGCUGGCAUGUAGGUGAAGUCCCUUGCGGAUGGAGCUGAAGCCAGUCGAAGAUACCAGCUGGCUGCAACUGUUUAAUAAAAACACAGCACUGUGCAAACACGAAAGUGGACGUAUACGGUGUGACGCCUGCCCGGUGCUGGAAGGUUAAUUGAUGGGGUCAGCCGCAAGGCGAAGCUCUUGAUCGAAGCCCCAGUAAACGGCGGCCGUAACUAUAACGGUCCUAAGGUAGCGAAAUUCCUUGUCGGGUAAGUUCCGACCUGCACGAAUGGCGUAAUGAUGGCCAGGCUGUCUCCACCCGAGACUCAGUGAAAUUGAACUCGCUGUGAAGAUGCAGUGUACCCGCGGCAAGACGGAAAGACCCCGUGAACCUUUACUAUAGCUUGACACUGAACAUUGAGCCUUGAUGUGUAGGAUAGGUGGGAGGCUUUGAAGCGUGGACGCCAGUCUGCGUGGAGCCAUCCUUGAAAUACCACCCUUUAAUGUUUGAUGUUCUAACUCGGCCCCGUGAUCCGGGGUGAGGACAGUGUCUGGUGGGUAGUUUGACUGGGGCGGUCUCCUCCCAAAGAGUAACGGAGGAGCACGAAGGUUAGCUAAUCACGGUCGGACAUCGUGAGGUUAGUGCAAAGGCAUAAGCUAGCUUGACUGCGAGAGUGACGGCUCGAGCAGGUACGAAAGUAGGUCUUAGUGAUCCGGUGGUUCUGAAUGGAAGGGCCAUCGCUCAACGGAUAAAAGGUACUCCGGGGAUAACAGGCUGAUACCGCCCAAGAGUUCAUAUCGACGGCGGUGUUUGGCACCUCGAUGUCGGCUCAUCACAUCCUGGGGCUGAAGUAGGUCCCAAGGGUAUGGCUGUUCGCCAUUUAAAGUGGUACGCGAGCUGGGUUUAGAACGUCGUGAGACAGUUCGGUCCCUAUCUGCCGUGGGCGUUGGAAGAUUGAGAGGGGUUGCUCCUAGUACGAGAGGACCGGAGUGAACGCACCACUGGUGUUCGGGUUGUCAUGCCAAUGGCAUUGCCCGGUAGCUAAGUGCGGAAAAGAUAAGCGCUGAAAGCAUCUAAGCGCGAAACUUGCCUCAAGAUGAGUCUUCCCUGGGCCUUUAAGGCCCCUGAAGGAACGUUUAAGACUAAGACGUUGAUAGGCUGGGUGUGUAAGUGCAGCGAUGCAUUGAGCUAACCAGUACUAAUGAUCCGUGAGGCUUAACCU